CCGUUGCGCAAGCGCAGUGGCCAAAAGGGGGGGAGGACCCGCCCCGCUGAGCCGAGAGGCGUGCUGCAGCGCGCUUUCACCCGGUACGCUGAAACCGGCGAACCGGGGUUUCAGGUUCAGUGGCGUCCGUACGGACUUCUCGCCCGCUUGGCCUCUGCGGAGGAGCCCUGCCGCCGAGAAGGGCUGCUCCCAUGACAUUUGGAGGUUCCCAGACUAGGAAUCUAAUUGGAGCUGUAGCUGCCGGCCUACACCACAGCCACAGCAACACAGGAUCCGAGCCGAGUCUGCGACCCACACCACUGCUCGUGGCAACACCGGAUCCUCAACCCAGACCAUGGCUGACAAAACCCAGGAGCCUGGUGGCAUCCACUUCCCUUUUCCCUUCACACCCUAUCCCAUCCAGAAGGACUUCAUGGCAGCUCUCUACCAGGUGUUGGAGGCUGGCAAGAUUGGGAUAUUUGAGAGUCCAACCGGCACUGGAAAGUCCCUGAGUCUUAUUUGUGGGGCCCUCUCCUGGCUCCGCGACUUUGAACAAAAGAAGCGUCAGGAGGAGGCGCGUCUCCUUGAGGCUGAAGCCACAGCUGCCCCCUUGAGCAAUGGGAAGGACCCGCUCCUGCUUCCCCUGGCCUCCCAGGGGACCUUAGGCCCCCCAAAAGACCCUGCAGAGCCCGACUGGGUCACUCAGUUUGUGCAGAAGAAAGAAGAGAGGGACCUGGUGGACCGCCUGAAGGAGGAGCAGGUCAGGAGGAGGAAGCGAGAAGAGCGCCUACAGCAGAUCCGCCACAAUGCACAGCUCAAGUAUGCAGCCAAGCGUAUGAGACAGGAAGAUGAGGAAACCGAGCGUCUCCUCGACCUCAGCAGGGAGAUGCUGGCGGCGGGCUCAGAGCCUGAGCAGCUGGCCUCAGAGGAGGAGGAGCUGGUCCUCGCCGAGUACGAGAGUGACGAGGAGAAAAGAAAGGCUAGUGGAGCAGAUGAGGACGAGGAUGACCUGGAGGAGGAGCACGUGACUAAGAGAAUGUUGGGGGCAUGACCACCUCUUUGAGCCCCGCUCUCGCGGGCAGAUUUACUACUGCAGCCGGACACACUCCCAGCUGGCCCAGUUUGUGCACGAGGUGCAGAGAAGCCCCUUCGGCAAAGACACGCGGCUUGUCUCCCUGGGCUCUCGGCAGAACCUUUGUGUCAAUGACGACGUGAGGAAGCUGGGCUCCGUGCAGCUCAUCAAUGACCGCUGCGUGGACAUGCAGAGGAGCAGACGCGAGAAGAGCAUCGCUGAGGAGGCGAAGCCCAGGAGGAGGAAGCAGGAACAGCGGACUGCCUGCCCCUUCUACAGCCACGAGCGACUGCAGCUCCUCCGGGACGAGGUCCUGGUCGGGGCAAAGGACAUUGAGCAGCUGGUGGCCCUGGGAAAGGAGGCUCGGGCCUGUCCUUAUUACGGGAGCAGGUUCGCCAUUCCCGCAGCGCAGCUGGUGGUGCUGCCCUACCAGAUGGUGCUGCACGCGGCCACACGGCAGGCCGCGGGGAUCCGGCUACAGGGCCAGGUGGUGCUCGUCGACGAGGCCCACAACCUGAUGGACACCAUCACGGGCAUCCACAGCGUGGAAGUCAGCGGUUCCCAGCUCUGCCAGGCCCAUUCCCAGCUGCUCCAGUACAUGGAACGAUAUGGGUGAGCACUGCCUCCUGGGGGGUGGGGGGUGCUCAGCUUUGUGCCCCGAGGUCAGCCUGUGAGAGGAGGCACCAGGGUGGCGUUUCUGGCCCGGCCGAGUGCAGUGGUGAGCAUGUCUUUACCUCCUGGUUCAUUGGGCGUGCACCCCCCUAGGCUGAGGGUCUCAGGACGCAGCAGUGGCUGUGGAGGCCAUGGCCAUAGCCAGCCUUUCUUCUGGGAGAGUGUGUAGCUGGUGACCGGGGGAAAGGCAGCAGACAGGAAGGCCUGGGCCGUUGGGGUGCUGUUGGGGUGCUCCCACUGAUGCCCGCUGGCCUCUCUGCAGGAAGCGCUUGAAGGCCAAGAACCUGAUGUACAUCAAACAGAUCCUGUAUCUGCUGGAGAAGUUCGUGGCCGUGCUGGGCGGUGAGGGGCAGCCGCGGGUGCCUGGCAGGACCCCUGGGUUUUCCAUGUCUCAGGAAUUGUCUUGGUCAUUAAUUUAGGAAAUCUCAUUUGUCUGACCUUAAAUCUUUUUCUUGGAAGCCUGGUUUAUUUUGCCAGGCCCUAUUCCUUAGGUGGCAACGAUAAUCUCUUGUCACAUAAGUGUGUAUGAUGUUCCAUGUCACGGUGCUGGGCCUUGGGUGCCCCUGGGAGGAAAGCAGCACAGGCAUGUGACCCUCCGAGUCUGGGCCCCAUGCCCUUCCCAUUGCUGUGCGGCAGCCCUGCUAAGGGUUUUCAGAGCAGCUGAAGUGCAGAAAAGCAGCGGGGCUCCCGUGGGCUCUGUCUCAAGCUGGCGCCCUUCACUUGGUGUCUGCCACUCUGCUGUCAUUGUGCUGCCUGGGCAUCACCUGCUGGCUCCUGCGUGGAGUGGGGUGGCCCUGUCCCCACGUCCUAGGAGGAGAUGCGAAAAGGAUGACAGCUUGGACUGUGCGUGCAAACACAAAGACCUUGAGACUGGGACCUCCUGCCUCUCCUGUAAAUAGCAAAAGAUUGCUUCAGACAGGAAUGUUCUUAACUCAAUGACUACGGAGCCAGGGUGAGGAGAUGGGACCAGAGUAUCCCCUCCCCCGGCCCCAUCUGACCUGUUUGGUUCUCUUUUGUAGGGAACGUUAAGCAAAACCCCAAUACCCAGAGCCUCUCGCAGGCAGGUAAGAGUGGGUCUGAGCGAUUCUGAGCCUCCCUCUGGGACUGAAGGCCGCGGCCUCCGAAGACUCCGGGCCCUUGGCCUUUUUGCCCCUAGGGACGGAGCUGAAGACCAUCAACGACUUCCUCUUCCAGAGCCAGAUCGACAACAUCAACUUGUUCAAGGUUCAGCGCUACUGUGAAAAGAGCAUGAUCAGCAGAAAGCUCCUCGGCUUCACAGAACGGUAUGGAGCGGUCCUGGCGUCCCCCAGGGAACAGCCCAGACUGGCUGGCUUCCAGCACUUCCUACAGAGUCUGCAGCCUGGGGUGACUGAGGCUCCUGCAGCCCCUGUGGAAGAGGAGGAGGCCGGGGCGCCUCGGCCUGCCUCCCCGUUGAUGCACAUCGAGGGCUUCCUUGCCGCUCUCACCACUGCCAACCAGGACGGCAGGGUCAUUCUGAGCCGCCAAGGCAGCCUCAGUCAGAGCAGCCUCAAAUUCUUGCUCCUGAAUCCAGCCGUGCACUUUGCCCAGGUGGUGAAGGAAUGCCGGGCAGUGGUCAUCGCGGGGGGCACCAUGCAGCCGGUGUCUGACUUCCGGGAGCAGCUGCUGGCGUGUGCCGGGGUGGAAGCUGAGCGCGUGGUGGAGUUCUCCUGUGGUGAGGAUCCACGCCGUCAGGUGGCGGCCUCCUGCCAUAGUCCAGCCAUAUACUGUGACCAGGCCCAGGGCCUGAGGCCUUGGGUCGGGCGCUCCAUCCUCUGCCAGCUCUCUUGCGAGCUCGCUGUCUCCAGGUUCUCAUGCUGUGUUUUCUCCGUCUGUAUGGAGAGGCUCGAGCAUCGCCCAGUUGGUUCUCUGGAAACGGGGCAGAGGGUGGGUGCUGUGCACAGUUGUUCCUAGUCUGGAAGCCAAGGUUGGGGGUACUCUUUCUGCACAAUACCUGGCGGGACAGUCCAGACUCCAGGUCAGCCUCACUGGGUCUUGCCAGGUCACGUGAUCCCUCCAGACAACAUCCUGCCCCUCGUCAUCUGCAGCGGGCCUGCCAACCAGCAGCUGGAAUUCACAUACCAGAAGAGGGAGCUGCCACAGAUGAUGGAUGAGACGGGACGCAUCCUCUGUAACCUGUGCAACGUGGUCCCAGGCGGGGUGGUCUGUUUCUUCCCUUCCUACGAAUACCAGCGCCAGGUCCAUGCCCACUGGGACAGGAGCGGCCUGCUGGCCCGCCUGGCUGUCAGGAAGAAGGCCCCAGUCUAGAAAACGUUAAAGCCAAGAGCGGAUCCAAGACCCAGGCAUUCUGCACCCCUUUUCUGGGAGACAUCACCUGUCUACCUUCAGAUAUUUCAGGAGCCCAAGAGAGCAAAUCAGGUGGAGCAGGUGCUGAAGGAGUAUUCCAGGUGCAUCAAGCACUGUGGCCAGGCUGAGGGCAUGGUGACAGGGGCCCUGCUGCUCUCCGUAGUUGGAGGGAAGAUGAGUGAAGGCAUCAACUUCUCAGACAGCCUUGGCCGGUGUGUGGUCAUGGUGGGCAUGCCCUACCCCAACAUCAGGUCUGCGGAGCUGCAGGAGAAGAUGGCUUACCUGGAUCAGACCCUCCCCAGAGCCCCAGGCCAGGCUGCCCCCGGGAAGGCGCUGGUGGAGAACCUGUGCAUGAAGGCCGUCAACCAGUCCAUAGGCAGGGCCAUCAGGCACCAGAAGGAUUUUGCCAGCAUCGUGCUCCUGGACCAGCGCUAUGCCCGCCCACCCAUCCUGGCAAAGCUGCCCGCCUGGAUCCGGGACCGCGUGGAGGUCAAAGCCACCUUUGGCCCUGCCUUUGCAGCUCUGCGAAAGUUUCAUCGUGAGAAGUGUGGCUCUUCCUGACAGCUGGCCGCACCACCGCCUGCUGGCCAGGCCCCUCCUUACCCGCCUGCGUGAAGUGUUGUCUGCCUGGGGCCUGGUCUGCAGAGCUCCUUCCUGAGGAGGAGAGCGUGGUACCCUUGGAUCAGUGGGCUGCCAGGAUCCAGGAGUAGGUGGAAAAGCCAACAGAGAAACUGAGGCCGGUCCUGAAGCAGCAGUGGGCUCGGCCCUUCCUGGGCAGCUCCCCACACCACGCCUGGCCAGCCUUUGUGGGGCGUGGGGGCUGCAGCACCUCUGCUCUUGCUUGUUUCUUGUCUCCACAUUCUUCGAGGUGACAGGGAGCCAGCCCUUCCUACCUCUCCCUUUCUCACUAGAAUGAGCUAUUCUAGAGCUUCCACUCUCUCCUGGAAACUAAGUGUUCCCCACUCUGUCCCCUGGUGUCCUGGGGCUCUCCUGCCCAUCUCAGCUCGCCUUGCCCCAGGCAGGCAGGAACUGCCUGCUUUGCCUCCCCCCUGCAGCACUGUCCUAACCUGCCCUCACCCCAGCAGCAGCUUCCAGGCACCUCCAGGCCCUCCGAGCCGGUGGCACCUCCCUCCCUCUCUGCCGCCUGAGCCGACUCCAAGACACCUCGUCCCCUGACAUCAGCGAGUCUGCCCAGGGCCAUUAGGCUCUCAGCGGGACUAUUUUUAGAGACCCUGUGUCUGUCACUGAGACAUUUUUUCCUGUGUGGAAGUCUCCUUCCAUCCGGCUGUACUGCUGACUGCACCUCCUCUCCUGCCCCCCGGCCUGAGACCAGGGGCAGCAGGACAGGCCCCGUUGGGAGGGACGCCUGCAUUCUGCAAACACAGAAUAGAUAGGAUAAUUAGUUCCUUAAUUAAAAGUGUACUGUUGGUUCGUGCUCA